UACGUUACAUGAAACUAUUAUCACUCAAAUAAAUAAAAUCAUAAAUAAAUGUACCUCUUAAAACUAUAUAUUUUACAAGCUAAUACUUAUAACUAUUUACAAUAUACAUCUAUUUUAAACAAACAAAGUGCAACAGUGUUCGUCGGCGCCGUUUUAGCGCUCCCAGAAUAAUAUCGCGUGCAACAUUUUAGCGCCCCGGCAACUAGUCCUUUUGUUUGUCACAUCUGGUGACACCUAUAUCACAGCGGCGCUUAGCCGCGCGACCAUUUCCGAUCUUCAUUCGAUACAGAACGCACGGCACAUUAAUAUCGGUCUUUAUACAUGUAUCGUUUCGACAUGUAACCAAUUAAAUAUUUUGUCGUCUCUAAACGUUCGUCGAAGUGCUCAACGUUAAUAUUUUUAUAGUAACGCGAGUGUAAUAAACCCCAAAUUGGGGUCCAAGGUUCGGGCUGUCAUUUGGAGUGUCGACUCCACCACAGCCACCUCACCACCAUCGCUACUCUCGCCAGGCAGAGCAGACCUCCCUUGCCGAGCCCUCGGACAGCCCCUGAGUACCUACGGUCGGCUGCAUUUCCAGAGGGGCGUCCCCCCACCGACGGCACAAACCAGGCGAGAGUACCUAACCGCAGUGUAGACAGGAUUUUGUGUGAAUUUAUAAAAACUAGAACCUACGACCUAAAUUAGCUCAAAAUUUAAUCAUUAAAUUUCUCGUUUCCGAACUUCGUCUCCGUUUCCGACAUUUAAAUAAAUUAAUAUUUUUUGCACGAA